rnacentral:misc_RNA from 1 species
UUGUUUUUUUUUUUUUUUUUUUCCGUUAAUGGCCCUGCUUAGUGCUUCUUGUACUUCUUUCUCUUCACCUUUAUAUAUUUCAGUGGACUGAAUUGUCAUUUACAUGUGUAUGCCUGUCUAUGUAGAUGCUUGAAAGUAUUGAACUCAAGAAGUCUGUCUAUAUAGAUGCUUCAGAGUUGUGAACUCCUGAAGUGUAGUGUAUGUCUUUCUAUGUAGAUUCUUGAAAGUAUUGAACUCAAGAAGUCUGUCUAUAUAGAUGCUUCAGAGUUGUGAACUCCUGAAGUGUAGUGUAUGUCUUUCUAUGUAGAUUCUUGAAAGUAUUGAACUCAAGAAGUCUGUCUAUAUAGAUGCUUCAAAGUAGCAAACUCUUGUACUGUAUAAUACAGUUGAUCAGAGAUUCAAAUAAUUUCUUAUAUUGUUUAUUCAUAUCAAGAAGAAACAUCCACACCUAUUAUAUUCUUUUAUAAUGGACUUGCUACAUAUUUUAAUCUAGUGAUGUUUGUCCACAUAUAUGAGAUAUUUAUAACCUCAGGUUCAGCUAAUCGUGACUGAAUGAGUAUGAGGCUUGAAAAGGUAUCAUUCUUUAUUUUUAUAUCCACUUCGGCCUCCUAAGUUGAUUGUACUUUCAUUUAAACA